rnacentral:rRNA from 1 species
GAUGAACGCUAGCGGGAGGCCUAACACAUGCAAGUCGAGGGGCAGCACGUCUUCGGAUGGUGGCGACCGGCGCACGGGUGCGUAACGCGUAUGUAACUUGCCCAUAACUGGAGAAUAGCCCAAAGAAAUUUGGAUUAAUCCUCCAUAGUAUUAUGAAACCGCAUGGUUUUAUAAUUAAAGCUCCGGCGGUUAUGGAUAGACAUGCGUCCCAUUAGCUAGUUGGUGAGGUAACGGCUCACCAAGGCUACGAUGGGUAGGGGUUCUGAGAGGAAGGUCCCCCACACUGGUACUGAGACACGGACCAGACUCCUACGGGAGGCAGCAGUGAGGAAUAUUGGUCAAUGGGCGAGAGCCUGAACCAGCCAAAGUCGCGUGAAGGAAGAAGGUUCUAUGGAUUGUAAACUUCUUUUGCAGGGGAAUAAAGGACGGUACGUGUACUGUUUUGUAUGUACCUUGCGAAUAAGGAUCGGCUAAACUCCGUG